UUGGGACCGCCUCUGCUAAAGAGGAGGAAGGAAUGGGCAACGGUAGGUCAGCAUGCCCCGAAUUAUCCGGGCUACACGCGGGCUACAAUGGUCAGGACAAUGGGCAUCAACACCGAAAGGUGAAGGCAAUCUCUUAAACCUGUCCUUAGUUCGGAUUGUGGGCUGCAACUCGCCCACAUGAAGCUGGAAUCUGUAGUAAUCGCGUCUCAAAUGGCGCGGUGAAUAUGUCCCUGCUCCUU
rnacentral:rRNA from 1 species